CGAUUAAGCCAUGCGAGUUAAUGUUCUUCGUGAACAUAGCAGACUGCUCAGUAACACGUGGAUAACCUGCCCUUAGGACUGGCAUAACCCCGGGAAACUGGGGAUAAUUCCGGAUAGAUCAUAAAUGCUGGAAUGCUUUAUGAUUGAAAGGUUUCGACCGCCUUAGGAUGGAUCUGCGGCCUAUCAGGUUGUAGUGGGUGUAAUGUACCUACUAGCCUACGACGGGUACGGGUUGUGGAAGCAAGAGCCCGGAGAUGGAUUCUGAGACAUGAAUCCAGGCCCUACGGGGCGCAGCAGGCGCGAAAACUUUACAAUGCGGGAAACCGUGAUAAGGGAACACUGAGUGCUAGCAUUUAUGUUAGCUGCCCACAUGUGUAAAUAGCAUGUGAUAGCAAGGGCUGGGCAAGACCGGUGCCAGCCGCCGCGGUAACACCGGCAGCCCGAGUGGUGAUCACUAUUAUUGGGUCUAAAGGGUCCGUAGCCGGUUUAAUCAGUCUUCUGGGAAAUCUAAUCGCUUAACUAUUAGGCUUCCAGGGGAUACUGUUAGACUUGGGACCGGGAGAGGUAAGAGGUACUGCAGGGGUAGGAGUGAAAUCUUGUAAUCCCUGUGAGACCACCAGUGGCGAAGGCGUCUUACCAGAACGGGUCCGACGGUGAGGGACGAAAGCUGGGGGCACGAACCGGAUUAGAUACCCGGGUAGUCCCAGCUGUAAACGAUGCUCGUAAGGUGUCAGGAACGGUGCGACUGUUUCUGGUGCCG
rnacentral:rRNA from 1 species